CAAUAUCUGCUUAUCUUUUGCUUAGUUUGACUGUGAAUUAAAUCCAGACUUACCAUUUAUAUGCUAUAGUGCAGUACAGUAUGACUAUAGAGAAACACAGAUAUGAGUUUAAACAGCUUAACCACCUUCAAAGAGAAAUUAAGGAGAUAAGAUACUUUGACUCAAAUUUGAUCCACCACAUAAAUGCUACUUAAUACUUGCCUACGGAGUGGUUAUUUUAAUUUCUUCAAUAAAAUAUUUGCCGAAUGAAAGUGAGUUUAUUUUGAUGAAUGUUAGUUCGUUGCGAACCUAUAGGUGAUGCCUACAGUGUCAACUGACGUGGGUCUAGUGGAAUGAAAGAGUGGAGUAUUUGUUUCUAGAAACUCAAUGAUCCUGCUAAAUCAAGGAACUUUAUUCUGAUUUAUCUGCAUUUUGGCCUCAUGGACUGAAUUCUGACCCAUUUCAGCCACGGAUCAGAUGUUGUUCUAGAGCAUGCCUUCAGCUCCAGCCUCAACUGUCAAGAAACCAACCCAUGUAUCUGUAUGGGAACUGUUGAAUCACAGCCUGAACCUCUGAUUGAUCACCUGAGGCAAGCAAUGAGUCAGCCACAGGAACAUACCUGAAGGCAAUUCACCUGUGUGACCGGAAAGGGGGGAGCCUGGCACCUCUCCUAGACCCCAUUUAAGGGCUGACUGUCACUGAGGAAGGAUAUCUUUCUGGAGAUCGCUCAUCUUGGAGUUUUUUCCUGCAAGCCUAGGACACAGAGACCUGCUUCUCAAAAGAGAAGAACUCCAUAUUCCAGAGAACCUCACGGUCAGAGAAGGGAGAUACAUCAUGGAAAUCACGGGAUCUGACUCCCUCUCUCUUGCUGCCAGGCAGAGGAGUGGGUGUGCUUCCAUGCCGUGCACCUUCAUUCAAGUAGGCCUUUCUGUUUCAGAAACUUUCUCUCUCUUAUUUUCUUUGAUUUAUUAG
ensembl:lncRNA